AACGGCCGUACCAUGCUGAAUAUACCGGUUCUCGUUAGAUCACCGAAGUUAAGCAUCAUUGGGCGCAGUCAGUACUUUUGUGGGUGACCACCUGUGAACACUGCGUGCCGUU
rnacentral:rRNA from 1 species